ACGGGAGGCAGCAGUAGGGAAUAUUGCUCAAUGGGCGAAAGCCUGAAGCAGCAACGCCGCGUGGAGGAUGACACUUUUCGGAGCGUAAACUCCUUUUCUUGGGGAAGAAAUUUGACGGUACCUAAGGAAUAAGCACCGGCUAACUCCGUGCCAGCAGCCGCGGUAAUACGGAGGGUGCAAGGGUUACUCGGAAUCACUGGGCGUAAAGGACGCGUAGGCGGAUUAUCAAGUCUUUUGUGAAAUCUAAUGGCUUAACCAUUAAACUGCUUGGGAAACUGAUAAUCUAGAGUGAGGAAGAGGUAGAUGGAAUUCUUGGUGUAGGGGUAAAAUGCGUAGAGAUCAAGAAGAAUACCCAUCGCGAAGGCGAUCUACUAGAACUCAACUGACGCUAAUGCGUGAAAGCGUGGGGAGCAAACAGGAUUAGAUACCCUGGUA
rnacentral:rRNA from 1 species